rnacentral:rRNA from 1 species
CUUUCACUCUGGCGGUAGGCCUAACACAUGCAAGUCGAACGGCAGCACAGGAGAGCUUGCUCUCUAGGUGGCGAGUGGCGGACGGGUGAGGAAUACAUCGGAAUCUGCCCAGUCGUGGGGGAUAACGUAGGGAGACUUACGCUAAUACCGCAUACGACCUUCGGGUGAAAGAGGGGGAUCGCAAGACCUCUCGCGAUUGGAUGAGCCGAUGUCGGAUUAGCUAGUUAGCGGGGUAAUGGCCCACCAAGGCGACGAUCCGUAGCUGGUCUGAGAGGAUGAUCAGCCACACUGGAACUGAGACACGGUCCAGACUCCUACGGGAGGCAGCAGUGGGGAAUAUUGGACAAUGGGCGCAAGCCUGAUCCAGCCAUACCGCGUGGGUGAAGAAGGCCUUCGGGUUGUAAAGCCCUUUUGUCGGGAAAGAAAUCUUUCAGGCUAAUACCCUGGGAGGAUGACGGUACCCAAAGAAUAAGCACCGGCUAACUUCGUG